CGCCGCCGGACAGCGGGCGGAAAUACGUCACGGCGGGAGCGCUUCCGAGAUCACCGAGCUCGAGACCGGAGCCAGUUCCGUUAAAACCGUUGGGAAUCAGCCCCGGCGCGCGGCCAUUAAAGUUUGAGAAGGAUAAGGGCAGCUCGGAGGUGUCAGUGUUGCCGUUGAACAGGGGAAACUAUGGAGCCAUGAGGGAGGAGCUGGCCAAAGUUGACUGGACGGAUAUCCCAGCAGAAAAGACCGUGGAACAGCAAUGGCAGUUUGAGAAGGAGAAGGGCAGCUCGGAGGUGUCAGUGUUGCCGUUGAACAGGGGAAACUAUGGAGCCAUGAGGGAGGAGCUGGCCAAAGUUGACUGGAUGGAUAGCCCAGCAGAAAAGACAGUGGAACAGCAAUGGCAGGGAUGGACAUCAUAAGGUUGGACAAGCAAGGAAAUUACCAGUAUACUUCGAGAUGGUCUGAAUAAGCAGUGACAUUCUCUGUGAGAGAGAUCGUGGGACUGAAUCAGCUGUAAUAAAAACAUUACCGUAUUGAUGGAACUGGACAAGCGGAGACAUUAUCUGUGUUGUCGGUGGCAUGUCAGAGUAAGCAAAAUAACACCAGUGUUGUCAGUGAUGUGCCUGUCGACCUGAAAGGACGGAAAUAACACCACUUUGUCUCCUCACAGCCCAGGAACGGAGUCAAAUUAUCUGUCUCGUAAAUGUAAUCCUUUUCAAUCAGUUAUGUAUAUAUAUGUCUACUAAUACGGCUAUCUAUCUAUUUGUGUGCACACACUGGCGAUAAACUGAAAACAUCUUUCUUUGAAAUAGCCGUGGUGGCAAUUUCUGUGGAAUGUGCAGAAUAAUAUCUAGAAAACUGAUGUAUACUUGAAAUGAUUGUGAAAACCGCGAAAGGUAAAAUCCUGCAAGAAUAUCAAUGCGGAAUGUCCUACUUGAUUUGUUUGUUUUAUUCACAUUUCCUAUUUAAUUUUUGUUUAUUGGUUUUGACUGUCCAUCGUUUCCGCCGAUGGCGUGCUAUUUGAAAUGAAGAAUUUCCUAGUGGAAAAGCCGUUGCACUGGGACAGUUCCACUCUCUACGUCACACAUAUCCUGAUCCCAUGGCAGGGGAAAUCGGCGAGAUUGGAGACCAUCUUGGCUGCAGCGGAUAGCACCCUGCGCCUUGUUUUACCCUUCGCUCUCCAUUAAUCGCUGCAACACAGCAUUCCGAGCUAUUAUAUCUUGUAGUGGAUCUUCUCUGUCCCGUCCGGGAUCAGAUUCCCUUGUUGGCGUAAAGAGUUCUCUCUCUCUCACCAGGUUCGAAUGAUCCCCGCUCCUCUCACCUGGUUUAGCCCGCCUGCCGAAGCUGUGCACCGGCGCGUUUCCAAAGUUGCAUGCACACAGAUACUUGGAACCACCAGUGAAAGCUGGGUGGCAGGGUGAGACCAGAUGUGGGGGAGCUGCCCUUAGGUGGGUCACGACAAGCCCACGACCAGAAGUGCCAAACAAAAUUUUGCUUAUAACUUUUUUUUUAAAAGGAAGAAUAUUGGCUGUUUUAUUUUGGCACGAAGUUAACGUGCCAAAUCUGAGAAAUUUUAAUAAAUAACCAUUUUCAUAAUGUGAUCAAUCAGCACCAAAUAAUCAACAGUUCUUAUCUUCGGCAGAACACAAUGAUUCCCUAUUAAAAGAAGGAAGGCUUUUGGAAGAUAAGAUAAAGUAAUUGUAUCCCUGUUCCUGAAAUUGGAAGCCGUUAGUAAUUCAAUGCUUGUUGUAGUUGAUGAUAAUUUGCAUAAUGAAUAUUUAUGGUAUUUAUUUCAUCAGUACGCGAUCAAUAUAUUCACACCAUCAAUGAAAGUAAUUGUAUUCGACGCAGAUACACCACCUGAAUAUUUUGCAGAACUGGCAGAACAACACAUUCCAGCAAAAAUUGUCCGGUCGGCCAGAAGCCCGUGGACAUCUCCCACUGAGGACCAGACAAACUAUCCUCUCACGCUUGAAGUUUGGCGCGGUCUACUGUACUUUCACUCAAAUGACUCGAAAUGACUAGAGGAAGCGAAAAAAAAACAUUAUUCUAUACACCCCUCCUUCAAUAAAGUGUAUCCAAUUUCAACUGCGGAGCUAAUCUCCCCCUCCAUGCGAAAAGUGAUUGCCGAUGUGACAAAAUAAAUCUGUUGACAAUAGGUGCAGAAGUAGACCAUUCGGCCCCUCGAGUCUGCACCGCCAUUCUGAGAUCAUGGCUGAUCAUUCACUAUCAAUACCCAGUCCCUGCCUUGUCCCCAUAUCCCUUGAUUCCCCUAUCCAUCAGAUAUCUAUCUAGCUCCUUCUUGAACGCAUCCGGAGAAUUGGCCUCCACCGUCUUCCGAGGCAGUGCAUUCCACACCUCCACAACCCUCUGGGAGAAGAAGUUUUUCCUCAGCUCUGUUUUAAAUAACUGACCUCUUAUUAUCAAUCCAUGCCCUCUGGUACUGGACUCUCCCAACAUCUGGAACAUAUUUCCUGCCUCAAUCCUAUCAAAUCCUUUAAUUAUCUUAAACGUUUCAAUCCGAUCCCCUCUCAAUCUCCUCAAUUCCAGCGUGUACCAGCCCAAUCUCUCCAAUCUCUCUGUGUAAGACAGCACUGCCAUCCCAGGAAUCAACCUAGUGAAUCUACGCUGCACUUCCUCAAUUGCCAGAAUGUCCUUCCUUAAACCUGGAGACCAAAACUGUACACAAUAUUCCAGGUGUGGUCUCACCAGGGCCCUGUACAAAUGCAAAAGGACAUCCUUGCUCUUGUACUCAAUUCCCCUUGUAACAAAAGCGAACAUUCCAUUUGCCCUCUUCACUGCCUGUUGCACUUGCUCAUUCACCUUCAUUGACUGGUGAACUAGGACUCCUAGGUCUCUUUGCAUUUCUCCCUUACCUAACUCUCCCCUGUUCAGACAAUAUUCUGCCCUCUUGUUCCUGCUUCCAAAGUGGAUAACUUCACAUUUAUCCAAUAUAAAUGUGUUGGAAGGUGAUUGUUCAUGUUGAUUGCCUGUGUUAGAAAGACCACUGAUCAAAAAAUGUCCCAUUUCAGCAGCUGGAGCCAGGUGUCUUGGAAAUUAAAUUGGCAAGCCUCAUAUUAUUUUUUUGUUUAAAAGUUAAUACUUGUAAUUUCCGUUGGGGGGAGAUGACUUUAUCACCCAGUGACAGAGUGAGAAAAACAUUUUAAUGUAAUUGUUUGUGUAGCUCGUUGUUCCUAAUCCGACUGACACGAUAACCACACUAAUUGUCUCUGUGGAAUUACACUGAAUUGUACAUAAUUCUGUAAAAUCGAUCACCGGUCUAUAUGAACAUUUGAAACUUUCUGUAAACCUGAACUCAGCUUCUGACUGAAUAUGCGAUAUCCAGCGAUUUACUACAUCGCAGCUGUUUUCUACCCUACACUUAUAGCGAUCGGUAUCCCAGGUAAUAUAUGGAGCUGCUCGCUAUUUGUAUAGCGCCGUCGACUUGUUUUUGUUCCGCUGCAUUGUUUGACUUUUAAUGAGCACAAAUGCUACCAUCGCCUGAAAUGUGAUUCAAGAAUUGAGGAUUCAAGCAUCUGAUAUGCUUUCUUUUUUAUUUCCCAUACUUUUUCGAUGUGAUUUUUGUUUUCCUUUUGUCAGUUAUAUUGGCGUCGUAUCUGCCACACUUAGAUAUAUGACCUUGAUCGGUUUUAUGAAACGACAGUGGUCACUUUUCCUGAUUGGCUGUUUUUUCAAAUGAGGGGCCAGUCAAAUAUCGACACGCAGGACUGUUUUUGUUUUCAUAAUCACUACAUUAUAAUGUAUGUAUUAAUGCU